GACUGCUAUCGGAUUGGUACUAAGCCAUGUGAGUCAUUGUAGCAAUACAAGGCAUACGGCUCAGUAACACGUAGUCAAUCUGCCCUAUGGACGUGGAUAACCUCGGGAAACUGAGAAUAAUCCGCGAUAGAUCAUAAUGCCUGGAACGGUUUAUGGUCCAAAUGAUUCGUCGCCAUAGGAUGGGACUGCGGCCUAUCAGCUUGUUGGUGAGGUAAUGGCCCACCAAGGCUAUUACAGGUACGGGCUCUGAGAGGAGAAGCCCGGAGAUGGGUACUGAGACACGGACCCAGGCCCUAUGGGGCGCAGCAGGCGAGAAACCUUUGCAAUGUGCGCAAGCACGACAAGGUUAAUCCGAGUGUUUCCUGCUAAAGGAAUCUUUUGUUAGUUCUAAAACCACUGAUGAAUAAGGGGUGGGCAAGUUCUGGUGUCAGCCGCCGCGGUAAAACCAGCACCUCAAGUGGUCAGGAUGGUUAUUGGGCCUAAAGCAUCCGUAGCUCGUUUUGUAAGUUUUCGGUUAAAUCCAUGCGCUUAACGUAUGGGCUGCCGGGAAUACUGCAUAACUAGGAAGUGGGAGAGGUAGACGGUACUCGGGAGGAAGGGGUAAAAUCCUUUGAUCUCUUGAUGACCACCUGUGGCGAAGGCGGUCUACCAGAACACGUUCGACGGUGAGGGAUGAAAGCUGGGGGAGCAAACCGGAUUAGAUACCCGGGUAGUCCCAGCUGUAAACUAUGCAAACUCAGUGAUGCAUUGGCUUAUGGCCAAUGCAGUGCUGCAGGGAAGCCGUUAAGUUUGCCGCCUGGGAAGUACGUACGCAAGUAUGAAACUUAAAGGAAUUGGCGGGGGAGCACCACAAGGGGUGAAGCCUGCGGUUCA
rnacentral:rRNA from 1 species